rnacentral:rRNA from 1 species
GACAGAGGGGGCAAGCGUUGCUCGGAUUGACUGGGCGUAAAGGGCGCGUAGGCGGUUCGUACAGUCAGACGUGAAAUUCCUGGGCUCAACCUGGGGGCUGCGUUUGAUACGUGCGGGCUUGAGUUCGGAAGAGGGUCGUGGAAUUCCCAGUGUAGAGGUGAAAUUCGUAGAUAUUGGGAAGAACACCGGUGUCGAAGGCGGCGACCUGGUCCGAUACUGACGCUGAGGCGCGAAAGCGUGGGGAGCAAACAGG